rnacentral:rRNA from 1 species
ACCUACAGCCAUACCACCUAAAUGCACCAGAUCUUGUAUGAUCUCGGAAGCUAAGCAGGGUCGGGCCUGUUUUGUACUUGGAUGGGAGAACCAUAAACCAACAGGAAAAAGGCAAAUAGCUCAAUUUA